GGGGGAUAUUGGACAAUGGGCGAAAGCCUGAUCCAGCCAUGCCGCGUGAGUGAUGAAGGCCCUAGGGUUGUAAAGCUCUUUCACCGGUGAAGAUAAUGGCGGUAGCCGGAGAAGAAGCCCCGGCUAACUUCGUGCCAGCAGCCGCGGUAAUACGAAGGGGGCUAGCGUUGUUCGGAAUUACUGGGCGUAAAGCGCACGUAGGCGGAUUGUUAAGUCGGGGGUGAAAUCCCGGGGCUCAACCCCGGAACUGCCUUCGAUACUGGCAAUCUAGAGUCCGGAAGAGGUGAGUGGAAUUCCGAGUGUAGAGGUGAAAUUCGUAGAUAUUCGGAGGAACACCAGUGGCGAAGGCGGCUCACUGGUCCGGUACUGACGCUGAGGUGCGAAAGCGUGGGGAGCAAACA
rnacentral:rRNA from 1 species